UACGGAGGGAGCUAGCGUUGUUCGGAAUUACUGGGCGUAAAGCGCGCGUAGGCGGCUUUGUAAGUUAGAGGUGAAAGCCCGGGGCUCAACCCCCGGAACUGCCUUUAAGACUGCAUCGCUUGAAUCCAGGAGAGGUGAGUGGAAUUCCCGGUGUAGAGGUGAAAUUCGUAGAUAUCGGGAGGAACACCAGUGGCGAAGGCGGCUCUCUGGACAGAUACUGACGCUGAGGCGCGAAAGCGUGGGAAGCAAACAGG
rnacentral:rRNA from 1 species